rnacentral:rRNA from 1 species
UACGAAGGGGGCUAGCGUUGCUCGGAAUCACUGGGCGUAAAGGGUGCGUAGGCGGGUCUUUAAGUCAGGGGUGAAAUCCUGGAGCUCAACUCCAGAACUGCCUUUGAUACUGGCGACCUUGAGUCCGGGAGAGGUGAGUGGAACUGCGAGUGUAGAGGUGAAAUUCGUAGAUAUUCGCAAGAACACCCGUGGCGAAGGCGGCUCUCUGGGACGGUACUGACGCUGAGACGCGAAAGCGUGGGGAGCGAACAGG